CAGGCAGGAAAAAUUAUCUUGCUGUACAAAGACCAGCACAAGCAAAUUAUGAGUCGAUUCUUAAUAUGGAGCAUAGUAAUGGGAAUUAUUUCUGCUGCCUUGACAAAAUGUUCUAAAGAUGAAGGCUUUAUUCCCAUAAAUAAGAAUUUAUGGUCAAUAUCAUAUGUGACAACCAUGAGCUGCUUUGCCUUCAUCCUCCUACUGCUGAUUUAUUACCUGGUGGAUGUUAAGAGACUGUGGUCGGGUGCUCCAUUUUUCUA